UGACCUGGAGAACGUACCCCAAGACAGAGAGCAACCAGAAGACGGGGGUGGACAGGAGGGCAGUGGCCAAUGCCUAGCCCUGGAACACCAGGAGGCAGCCGAGGUGAGGACAGGAGAGGUCAGAUUUGAUCACAGAACCUGGGAGGCCCCUCCCAGAAAGGGACAUCCGGUGUGCCGCUGACAACAGGCUUGAGGAUGAACAGAUACAGUGGGCACGAGGGUGCCUCUCUGCCUCAGGUUUUCCCAUCCAGGACAAAGGCUGGCUCAUGCUGGAGUCACACCAUCCUGGAGCUGAGCCUCCUGGGGGAGCACAGCAAAGUGGCAUCUGGUGGCCCAGUGACAUGCCAGGCCUCAGGACCAGAAGAGAGGAUGGUGCAGUGCAAACGAGACUGACCCAGAGAAGCUGUCAGACCUGCAGCAUCAUCCCAGUUCCGGCAGCAAAGCUGUGUGAUUUGGGUCCAUCAAUCUAAGCACUGAAAUACUGACCUCGAGUGUCCACCUGCCAUCCUGACGGGGACUGAGUCACACAGCCAGGAUGCCUGGAGCCUGGGGCGAAGCUAAGAGCUCCCAUCUGGGCCUUUCCACAGCAGGCCUUGGCCAUGGUCACCGCCCCCACCUAGGCUUCAAACUUCCUUUCCUGAUGCAGUGCAGGGGGAUUCUCCACCCCUCCCUCAAGUCCUCUUCACCGUCACUGGUUUGGGACCAGAAAAACCUGCAGAUGUCCACAUGGAAGAAGAAAGCGGAAAACAGGGAAAGAACCCACGGAUGGACUUGUGCUAGAUUCUCUAAUCUUUGACAGCACCGUUCAUUUUUUCCAAUAACUACUAUUAACAGCGAAAUAUUUUGCAAAUUGCAUAUCCUGACCUCCCAAAGAAUAUAAUUUUGAUAUAUAGACAGUAGUUUUCACAUUCUCCCAGAAACAAGCCAAGAGGAGCAGGAAAAACAAAUCUGACAGUCAAGCAAUUGGCCAGAAUUUGUCUAACCCCACCCCCACCCCCACCCAUACCCACACUUCUCUACAAAUACAGUCCUGCCUCACUUCACCUCAGGGACACAUUUGAAGAAACGCAUGCAUGGGCAAUUUUGUCAUGUCAUCCUGCGAACAUCAAGGGUUGUUCUUAUGCAGACCUAAGAGGUACAGGUCAGUCACUCCUCCUGGCCUGCUGAUGUAACCAGGAGAGUGAUACACGAGAUGUGAGGCCUGCUGUGGCCUAAAGGCAUACUGUUUUACAGUAAAGGGUUUUUUUUGUUUUGUUGUUUUUUUAAAAAGAGCAUGAUUUAAAAUAAUGAUAAAAAAUAUAGUAAAUACAUAAGCCAGAAACAUAGUCAUUAUCAUUAUCCACUAUUAUGUGACUGCCAGAGCAGUCGGUUUGUUUAACCCAGCAUCACCACAAACAGGUGAGUGACGUCCUCUGACGUGAGGACACCCACAGUGUCGUUAGGCAAUAGGAACUGUUCAGCUCUGUUAUAAUCCUAUGGGACCACCAUUGUACAUGUGUUCUACCGUUGACCGAAACGACAUGCAGCACAGGACUCAGAGAGGAACCAUGAUACUGAAAGGUAUCAUUUAUUGGGAAUUUAGCAUACGCCGUCAUCUUGGAUACUUCACGUGAAGACACAAGUUUGAUCUCAGCCAAUAAUGCUAUGAGGUGGAAAAUGUUAGGUGACGGACCAUGUGUCGAGGAAACUGAGGCACGGAGAGCUUAGUAGCCUGCCCAGAGUUCCAUGGCUGCCAAGUAGCAGGAAAUCCCUGGACAACAAAUGGCAUAAGUGUCCUGGAAGGAGUCUCACGACACUUCCAAAUAACUCAACUUUCCUUAUACAGCAAGAAGAGAGGGCAGCUGUAACUUCUCCAAAAAUGCAAACUGCCGAGAGCACUGAAGAUGAUAAAAUUAAAAACAUCAGCAAGGAAGCAAAAGAACACCUGGGAGAUGUUUGUGAAAAAGCCAGCAUCACCUGAGGGACCUGGGGAGGGUGCAAAUUACCACUGUGAGACCCGGACCUGACUAGUGUCCAAGGCAAAACCAAGCCCUGGGUUCUCAGCCCUGGCUGUGUUAGAAUCACCCGGAGAGUUUGGUUUGGGGUUUGUGU